ACGUAGGGGGCAAGCGUUGUCCGGAAUUACUGGGUGUAAAGGGAGCGCAGGCGGAGAAGCAAGUCAGUGGUGAAAACGAUGGGCUUAACCCAUCGACUGCCAUUGAAACUGUUUCCCUUGAGUGAAGUAGAGGCAGGCGGAAUUCCGAGUGUAGCGGUGAAAUGCGUAGAUAUUCGGAGGAACACCAGUGGCGAAGGCGGCCUGCUGGGCUUUAACUGACGCUGAGGCUCGAAAGUGUGGGGAGCAAACAG
rnacentral:rRNA from 1 species